CACCUGCACUCAGGCGACAUGGGGGGCACAGAAGCAGCUGGUUACACAGAGGUUUACAGAGAGAUCGAAACAGAGAACCACAAAGAAUACAGUCUACUUGUAAGGUAUGUUUUGACUUCUUAACUGUGAAACUAGAUAUAAAAUCCCUCCGCACCCUUUACUUUUGACCUGCUAAGUCCUGCAUUAAGUACUGUAGACCCCAUGCACAUGACAAGAGUCAUCUGAACACAAUGGACGCUCAGUCACUCAUCUUGUCUCUGUUCUCAGCACCUGUCAGUCUGCUCCCUCCACCCAGGCUCUGGCUCUGCCUCCUCUGCUGUCAUUGGGGCUUGAAGAUGUCAGUUAUCCUCAUUUGCACCUGGACUGCCAGACUCCUCAUCCCAUUGCCAUUUUCUCAGAGAUCUGGAGCUUGGCAUCCCGUCUGUAGGCGCAGGCGUUUCCACAGCAAGGCUCCUGUCCCCAUGCUGAAAUCAUGGCCAAGCACGUCCUCUGAACAAUGGAUGGCACACAGUCUUCCCACCUUAAAUGAAGUAUCUCCUCAAGGACCACCGCACAGGACUUUGCAGGCCUCUGGCCCAGGCUCUGGCUAAAAAGGAAGCAGCUGCUGAGGCCCAUGCUGGCACAGGGGUUUUACCAGGGCACAGGCUCCUACCAUACUCACCAAACACUCCUUUGAAGACCCACAACUCCAGGCGGAUUGGCAGAAGACUAACACAGGGAUUGAAAGUCGGAACUAUCUCUUGGCCACCACCAACAAUGC